UUGACUGUCCUUUCUUCGUUUCUUUAACAAUCUAAAGGCAUGGAUAAUCAUGCUUAUUGAUGAUUCUCUCUCUCUUUCUCUCUUGUACUUCAUUUUCAUUAAUGAAACUUCUAAAAUUCCAAAUAUUUGGUUUGUUCAAAUACAAAGCUUCUUCCUUUUCAGCAGGGAGACACAGUAAGGUACUGGUUUGCAGAAUAUUGAGCUUUAAUCAGAACCGUCUGAUAAGAGAUUCCUGAUUCAUCUUCCUCUUGGAUUAAGAGCUGCCCAACUUUCUCUUCAGGCUUCUGGUGGAGGAGUAGCAGCAGCAGGAGGGGUGAAGCAUGGGGAGGGCUGUGGCUGUCACUACAUGGAAGAAUGAAUCAUGGUUUAUCUUUUUCAUGAGAAUGUUUGUGAAGCAAAUAGGACUUACUCUUCUGCUCUUCCUCCUCCUCUUCUGCUUUUUUCCCUUUUGAUGGUGGUGGUGGUGGUGGUGGUGGUGAUAUUGGCGGGACGGCUCAAUCUCUUAAUUUUAUGAUACAGUUUUUUUUUUUUUUUUUCUUCACUUACUCUUUUUCAUGAUGAUGAUCUUUUUCACAAUGAAAGAUUAUGCCAAAAAAAAAAAGGGGUUAAUUCUAAUGACACUAACUUGCUCCUUUGGUUUUGCAUUUGUGCCUUACUGCUUGUUGAAGAAAACUAGAUUAUUCCUUGAGGAAGCAAAGAAAGAAAUGGAGCAGUAAAUAGGAGUUGGUGAGUAAAUCUGCAAAGCCUUGGGAGUUAUCAAACACUGUUUUAUCAUCAACAUUUCCAGAUUCUGUCAGUCUUUGCUUCUUCUGUCUCUUUUAUGAUAUAGUUUUGUUUUCUCUUGGGAGAUGUGGGGUUUGAUAGAUAGCCCAUUUCGAAUCCAGUAAUCCACCAGGAAAUUUCAUUUCGUUUAUGUAUACCCAUUUGAAGAAAAAUAUUAUACAAGUGUUGAUCUUAUCCUUGGGAUUU